rnacentral:sRNA from 1 species
AUGCACUUGGGUAGAAGAACCAGCUGUGCAGUGUCAAGACCCUUCCCUCAGAGACCUUAUCAGUAAAAUGGCGGGUGGACUCGGGGAUGCCCGAAGACUUUUCCGGACCACGAUUUUCCGAUGCUGGACACAUAUUUAAACAUGAAGGAAUAGACUUGCGACUUUUAAGCGCAAACAAUGGGUGGAAAUGGACAGAAACUGCCUCCGUGCCCACUUGCAGCGGACUACGUAGCCCUGGCAGACAGGCAAUUGCUUCAAACAAGCGCCCUCCAAGGGCGUAAGCUAGAGGGGCCCGGGCGGGCGCUUUCCCGUGGACCCUCCCACCUCGCGGGUAGAGGAAGUCCUUCAGUUCAGGCACAACCCUGAGCGCCCCCCGCAGUCUCCAACUCCGGCGCCAGUCAGGUUGUGGGGUGGGGGCGGCGGAGAGCGCAGGCGCAGAGUCCGCGCCGGCGGCGCCCCUCUCCCUCCGCACUACUCCGGGCAGCGCCCGCCUCGAUUUUCCCAGGCGAGGGCACGCCCGCGUCAGUCGCCUCCGGGGCACCUUCCUCGCCACGACACGCAGGUAACCGGGCCCCGGGAGCCGGUCGGCGGCGGCGGACUGGGACCUUGAUCCUGCCUGCCCGGCCGCCUGACAGGGGAAUGAGAGCGGACCCCGAACUCCACACACCCGCGUUUAGCCGCCACACCUAAGGGGCAGAACAGUCUUUUUGGGUAAGGGCCGGGCUGGGGGCGACGCGCCCCGCCCGCUUUGCAGACUUCGGGGUGCUCUGCACGACGCCUGAAAGGCCGCGGGGCCCGCAUUUCUCUGUGCUGCCCUCCUGGAGAACCGGGACACGGGGACGGGAGGGCCAGCAUCGGCUACGGCCCGAUUUCCCGUUUCUUUCCGCUGUCGCGUGUCUGGGCCCUCCUGCAGCGUCCAUGAUGAAGGCCAGGGGCUGUUGCUUUCCUCUCGCCCAGUAGCCAACCCAAGCAAGCGGGUGAGUCACUGUGGCGUCAUAUGGGAUCAAUUUCAAAUACAAGUUUUAAAAAAGGCUGGAUGAUUUUAGAAAUAUGGCCAAGAAUUUGUAUUUUCCAUUACUCUCUUGUCUCAUGUCCAUGACUCUUGAACGCCAGUCUGUGGGCGCUGAGAUUUUCGUGGUACAUCGACGGUUUGUAGAAAUCUUUUCCCAAGGGAAGACGAGGGCAAGGGUUAGUGGAGGAAGGGCCUCGUCACGGCCGAGAGUGGCGGAGAAGGCUCAGGGCAAGUCCGCACAGCCUCCAGCAGCCACGGGGAGGAAAAGGCGAAUCUUUCCUCACAGUGCUCUGGGCGCUGUAGAAUUUCUACGCCACGUGCACCCUUUUGGCCUCAUUUGAGAGGAGGAGAGGGAAGAAGGGUCGCGCGGGCCGGUAGGAAAGAGAUUCGUGUUGCGGCGGAUGAAGGCUCAGCGCGGACCUGCCUCUCGGGCCAGGUUUUCACCCGGCUCCGCGAGGAGCGAGGCGGAAUGCUCGGGUCCGAGUGUUGAUCGAGGACCUGGAGAUAGUAACGCCCCGGGUCCAGAGUGCUGGGGGUGGGUCCAGAGGGCUGGGGGUAGGUCCAGAGGGCUGGGGGUAGCUCCGGAGGAGCGAUCUUCCUCCGCGGGAAAGGACUUGGAUCAGGCUUGCCUAUGUCCGUGGUGCUGAAAUGCCUCGCGCGCCCUCGUCGACUGACUUCCUGGGCCGCGGCCUGCGUUGCCCUUCUACUCUGCACCUUUGCCAAAAAUAGCCCAUCUCCAUGGCUGGUGGCCAGAGUAGAGCAGGCCCAACACUGAAACUCUUUUCAGACAAGUUGAGGCUGGUUUCCUGAACAUAACCCGAAAGCAAAUGUGGCUUGCCUUGGAG